rnacentral:lncRNA from 1 species
GUUGCGACAUGUCGUAACUUAAUAAUUUUAGUUGAAAGGGUGCGUAGACAAUGAAUGGGAGUUUUUGCCCCUAUCAUAUCUAAAAUUAUGUGUAAAGUGAUAUAACUUAUUAACCAUACAUAUUAGAGACCUAGGGUCUUUUGAUUUGAGAUCCUCAGUUUGUGACCUUGAAAUUGAGGUCAAGGUCAUAGGUUAAUUUGACGUUCUAGAUUUUGACCUUUGCUUUAAAUUCAUAUCUAUACAUCAUAAAGCCAUAUGAACUGACAUUUU